UACGUAGGUGGCAAGCGUUGUCCGGAUUUAUUGGGUUUAAAGGGUGCGUAGGCGGUCUUCUAAGUCAGUUGUGAAAUACUUCAGCUUAACUGGAGAGGUGCAAUUGAUACUGGAAGACUUGAGUACUGAUGAGGUAGGCGGAAUGGACGGUGUAGCGGUGAAAUGCUUAGAUAUCGUCCAGAACAUCGAUAGCGAAGGCAGCUUACUAAGGAGUAACUGACGCUGAGGCACGAAAGUGUGGGGAUCAAACAGG
rnacentral:rRNA from 1 species